AGUAUCAAUUGGCUGUUGUAACAGAAUAUAAAAAUCAUAUAGACAAAUUAUUAACAGAAACCAUUAAAAAAAAUAAUGAUGAUAAGGAGCAAUUUAAGGAUAUAAUAGAAAAUUGUAUAGCCAUGAAGCAGCAGGCUGCCAUAUGUCAGGUGAACAUAAACAAGAUGUGCAAAAAUCUGCAAAACAAUAGUCAAUUUGAAGAUCUUCAAGGGGCAUGUAGAUCUGUUAAAGAAAAGUAUGAUAUAUUAAUAAAAGGAAUGGAAAACGUAAAGCUGCCCUCAUAAAAAUACAUUUGAGUGCAAUAUAUUGAAUAAUUUUGUGUUCCCGUAUUUAAUAAACAAUAUUAUAAAAA